AUUGAACGCUGGCGGCAGGCCUAACACAUGCAAGUCGGACGAGCGGCGGACGGGUGAGUAAUGUCUGGGAAACUGCCUGAUGGCGGGGGAUAACUACUGGAAACGGUAGCUAAUCCCGCAUACCAUCAGAUGACCCCAUAUGGGAUUAGCUAGUAGGUGAGGUAACGGCUCACCUAGGCGACGAUCCCUAGCUGGUCUGAGAGGAUGACCAGCCACACUGGGACGGAGACACGGCCCAGACUCCUACGGGAGGCAGUAGUGGGGAAUAUUGCACAAUGGGCGCAAGCCUGAUGCAGCCAUGCCGCGUGUAUGAAGAAGGCCUUCGGGUUGUAAAGUACUUUCAGUGGGGAGGCGUUACCGACAGAAGAAGCACCGGCUAACUCCGUGCCAGCAGCCGCGGUAAUAC
rnacentral:rRNA from 1 species